rnacentral:rRNA from 1 species
UACGUAGGUGGCAAGCGUUGUCCGGAAUUAUUGGGCGUAAAGCGCGCGCAGGUGGUUUCUUAAGUCUGAUGUGAAAGCCCACGGCUCAACCGUGGAGGGUCAUUGGAAACUGGGGAACUUGAGUGCAGGAGAGAAGAGUGGAAUUCCACGUGUAGCGGUGAAAUGCGUAGAGAUGUGGAGGAACACCAGUGGCGAAGGCGACACGCUGGGCCGUACCUGACACUGAUGCGCGACAGCAUGGGGAGCAAACAGG